CCUCCGUCGUAGCAAGACCCACCCCGGGCAGACUUGCGCGACUAGGAAAGGCAUCUGGUGCCGUUAUUUUUUGCCAAAUAUUUUUUGACUUUUAGCAUAUUAUGUUGCCUGCACAUUAUACUGCACAAACAGGAUUCGACCUCAGCCUUGUUCCACGGCUUAUAUAAGUCUGACACCUUUCGAGCAGUGUUUGGUAUAUUGCGUUUGCGCGAACACUGAUCGUUACAUCUGUAUUAAAUAUUUGCAUUUCCUAUGAACAAUCAGCAACUCAACUAUGGCCAAUCGCUGUUACAAGAAAACAAGAGACCGGUCUUAUGUAAUCGCCAAUGAACCGGGUAUAAAAGGCCCUGCAAAAGAUCAGCAUUCACAGUCACUGUCUUUCCUCCGUCGUAGCAAGACCCACCCCGGGCAGACUUGCGCGACUAGGAAAGGCAACUGGUGUCUUUAUUUUUUGACUUUUAGCAUAUUAUGUUGCCUGCACAUUAUACUGCACAAACAGGAUUCGACCUCGGCCUUGUUCCGCGUCUUAUAUAAGUCUGACACCUUUCGAGCAGUGUUUGGUAUAUUGCGUUUACGCGAACACUGAUCGUUACAUCUGUAUUAAAUAUUUGCUGUUUUAAUGUUGUAUUUUGGUUAAACAAUUUGAAUUUAAUUAAAAGUACUUCUAUCCAAUCAGCAAUAGUAUUAUGUGUAUGGCAAUUAGUUUUCAUACUUUUACGACAACUUUUUUUGUAUAAUUUAUUGUGGCAAUUCUUAGAAUUGGUGUAAUAAUCAAAAAUAACAGUGAAAUAUAUGACUAGCUCAAUUUGACCAGCAAUUAAUGCAAAUUCAUAUUGCUUUCUACUGGUACCUAUCUGAUGACUAUAAAUUAAUGAAUAAAAUAAAAUUGGAAUAAAGGAAUAAAAUAUACAUAUAUCUAUAUUAUAUUUUGAUCGUUUAACAAACUAAACAAUCUAUUAUGAAAUUUAUUUUAUUUUAUUUCAAAUUCCAAUUGCAUUUAAUAGUACUAACUUUUAAUUCAAAUAUCUAUAACAAUAUUGGAUGAACAAAUACAAAUUGCUGUUUUGGUUAGUCACAGCAUAAUACAGUGAAACUUCUAAUUAACAGUCACCAAAGGGACCAUAAAUAAUGACCGCUAUUUAGAAGUAGCCGUCCUAUAGAGGUGACAAUACAUGACAUAACACUUGAUGGGACCAAAAAACCUAACCGUUACAUAGAGGUGACCGUUAACGGAAGUUUUACUGUACACUUCACCUAAUAACUUAAUAAUUGCAUUCUGAUAAAAAAAAAAAACAGUGCAGCAUCAAGAUCAAUUACCUCUAAAUUUGUAAAAAUUGUUGAUAAUCACAUUAAUAGUUAAUUGUAUGUUUAAAUAAUUAGGUUAAGUUAUUGGUAUAUAACAUAAGUAGGGCUAUGGAGUUUUUAUUAACCUAAAUUGGCAAAUUAAAAUUUUUUUUUACAUCUGAGUGUCAUUUUCGUGCAAUAUAUUAAAAGAUUUUUAUAUCAUAAAAUAUUAAUUAAAAAUUAACAUAAUUUCAAAAAUAAGUGUAAAAAUGAAUAAUUUUUUAAAACAUCCAUAGCCCUAAAAAUAUGUUGUACCCUAUGUAUAGAGUAGAUAAUGUAAAGUAUGUUCAAUGUUCAUUUAAUUUGUAUUAAUUUAUCUAGGGUAGUGGACAUGUUAAGUGUUAAUAUUUUUUAUUAGGUAUGACCUUACCCAAAUCCUGCAAAAAUUUGCACUACGGAAAUUUGUUCAUGUUCUAGUAAAAUUAUUAAUAACUAAUGUGUUUAUUUGAUAAUUUAGUAUUGAAUUAAUGUCCAUUAUUUGGUAUAUGUUCAAUAAACUUGAAUAAAAACUAUCUAUCAA